CUCAAUUGAUGAGUUCUGUUAACACAGAACUAUAGAACAAGAGAAAAAUAGUACGGCCGUCCACCGAGCAUUGUAACGAUCAAUAAUAUUUACAAGGAGAGUGUUGAUUAUGAAGGAUUUUUACGGGAAAUUCGAAAACCGAUAAAUAAAUAUUCCACGAAGAACGAUAAAAUUUUAAGUUCAGUUACGAAACGAUUAACGAUAUCACACACCAUUACUCAUAUUUGCUUUAGGCACACUAAUUCGAGCAAUCAUUAUUAGUGAUAAUUAUUGCAAGUGGUUAUCAAACAUAGUGCACAAGUUAAGAGUCCCACCAUGAAACUUCAUACCUGGCUGGUCGUGCUUUAUGUGAUAAUGUUUGUAUCUUUGAUAUCCGCUGGCAGAAAAACUAUCAUGCGACGACCUAGAAUAAGGAAUUAUUUUGUUGUCAGGAAAAAUUUAUCAUGGGGAGUUCCUGGGGGUCCUAUAGUGAAUGAUUUCGUACGGAAACAUUCCUGCCCGAAAGGUUCAGUUUAUAUAGCUGGUCUUUGCCGAACAGUUGUCUCGAAUUGGAACUGAAGAGAUGAUAUACCUACUUUCAAAAGAAUAUAAUUAUACUCUCCAAAAUUGGAACUUCACUGAUGUCAGUGUAGCAAAAAUUGAAUCAACAAAUUACAAUUCGAAGAAAGAAUGGAAACAUGAAUAAGUGAUCAUUCACUUGAUGACAGUCAACAGGCCGACAAUCUCUACAAUAAUACCAGUUAAAACAGAAUGUAUACUUAUCAAAUAUUUGCUUGUAGACAU